GCUCAGAACGAACGCUGGCGGCAGGCCUAACACAUGCAAGUCGAGCGCCCCGCAAGGGGAGCGGCGGACGGGUGAGUAACACGUGGGAAUUUUCCUCAAGGUACGGAACAACUCAGGGAAACUUGGGCUAAUACCGUAUGAUGCAGAGAUGCCAAAGAUUUAUCGCCUUGGGAUAAGCCCGCGUCAGAUUAGGUAGUUGGUGGGGUAAUGGCCUACCAAGCCUGUGAUCUGUAGCUGGUCUGAGAGGACGAUCAGCCACAUUGGGACUGAGACACGGCCCAAACUCCUACGGGAGGCAGCAGUGGGGAAUCUUGCGCAAUGGACGAAAGUCUGACGCAGCCAUGCCGCGUGAAUGAUGAAGGUCUUAGGAUUGUAAAGUUCUUUAGCCUGUGACGAUGAUGACGGAACAGGAGA
rnacentral:rRNA from 1 species